CUUGGAGGUUGACUGGUCUAAACUCCCAUAGAAUUUCUGAAUCUGCUAAUAUCAUUUGUAUUUUGUUGAUGGAAAUGUGGAUUUGGGGAUAUGCAGCUGGAAGGGUUGGUUCUAUCCAGAAAGUUGCAGAUAGGCUUCGUUGUUACACUUGGUCAUGACUUCUUCAUCUCACUUCAAAAUUGCA